rnacentral:lncRNA from 1 species
AGCGCGUGCGGCCGCCGAGCACAUGGGCCCGCGGGCCGGGCGGGCUCGGGGCGGCCUGGACCCGGACGGGCGGCGAGGGGCCGCGCGCGGGGACGGGCCCCGGCACCCCCCGGGCCCCCCGAGCGGAUUUCCACGCCGAGAGGAUGUUGGCAGCGCCGGCGACCUGCCGAGACGCGGCGGGAUCCACCUUCCAGUGGGGCGAGUAACCGUGCCCUGUCUACCCCCCCCCGCACAAGGAAGAAAAGACAGUAAGAGGAAGCAGAACUACGACGGGCACAGGAAUGGUUAUUGCUGGAUGGGGGCUCAGCCAGAGCGCACCAGGAGGUGCGUGAUGAGAUCGGCAGGCCGCAGCAGAUGACCCCCAUCUACAUUUUAGCCUAGUGUUAGCGCCCACAGCCUUCUGUUGAUUGGAUGCCCGGGAACGUUCCCAGGGACGGCAGACCUCAGGAUGAGUGAGGGGUUUACUCAUGGGGACGGGGGCCGAGGUAUGAAAACUUGUAUAAUGAAAUAGACGUUAGAGAGGAACGGGAACCCUCCCAUCCCCGCCCCUGCAGUCCCACACCACCUCUGUGUUUGGUCAUGCAGAUCAUUGGGGUGGAAGAGUUUUGGGGAAGCAUUGAAUUUUAGCUUCUGCCAUCUGCACAACAAUGCUUGUUUUGCAGUUCAUGAAAUUGGACGUCAGAGAGGUCAUUGUGGUUCCAUGGCCCUUUCCCGUAGCAGGGGAAGAAUGUGCAUUCUCCCUUGUCCCUGUGCCUUGGCUCAUGAGUUCACGGGCUUGGGGGCAGGGCCAGGUAGAUUGGGGUGAGCAGCGCUCGGGCUGCCUGCUGCGUCCCACUGAAGGUUUGCAUUUGCCAGUCUUUUUGCAGGAGCUGGCUGUGCGGGACUCCGGGUGCCCGGGGUCUCCACCUUCAUCUGUCCCUUGGCAGGAGUCCGUGAGAAUCAGGUGCAGUGUCUGACUGCCCCUCAGUGCGGGCAGGAUGUCUGUCGUGCAGAGAAAACGAUUGGGAUGCAGCUCGUUCGUGCUUUUGGACCUGUAACCAGGACCUGUUCCGGUAUUCCGGUACCUGGAGAAGAAUAUCCACAAGUUGUAGUGUGAGAUGCUGAGUGCUGAUUCAAAAGCAAAAAAAAAAAAAAAAAGAAAACAAGCAAAACAUCAGUAUUUUUUAUUGAUUGUAUUAAAAGUGUAUGCUGGUUGAAAAAUAAUCUCAACCACUACAGAAUUUUAAAAGGAGGAAGUGACCUUUUCCUAUAAUGUCAUCACCAUCCUUUGGCAGAGAACAUUAAUGGAAGGAGUCAGAAAACAUGGGUUUGGAAUCCUAGCUUGACCAUUUCAGUUUCCAAAGGUCCCACGCGAGGGA